rnacentral:rRNA from 1 species
GACGGAAGGUGCAAGCGUUGCUCGGAAUCACUGGGCGUAAAGGGUGCGUAGGCGGCCGUGCAAGUCUGGCGUGAAAGCCCCGGGCUCAGCCCGGGAAGUGCGCUCGAAACUGCGCGGCUCGAGUGCCGGAGGGGAGAGUGGAAUUCCUGGUGUAGCGGUGAAAUGCGCAGAUAUCAGGAAGAACACCAAUGGCGAAAGCAGCUCUCUGGGACGGUACUGACGCUGAGACGCGAAAGCGUGGGGAGCGAACAGG